rnacentral:lncRNA from 14 species
AUGAUGGGCUGGCGGCUGCGGCUGUUCAUCAAGGCGGUGAAGCGGUGGAAGUCCGUGGCUAGCUGGGCGAUGUUGCUGUGGGACUGGUGGAAGCAGGCGCCCUUGGGCUGUCCCCCCAGCCCCAGCGGGCAGGAGAAACGCUUGGUGGCAUCGCGGCCCCCCGGCCGGGCACCGUCGGUCCCCCGGGGCCGGGCCAUGCUGGCCAGCUUGCGGCGCACGUUGCCCGAGAGGCUGAGCAGGAAGGCGGGGGGCUUGGCCAGCCGGCGGGAGGGCUCGGCCGGGGCCCGGCGACGCGGUUCGGCGCCCACCUCGGGCAGGUCCAUCCAGUUCUCCACCAGGUCAGCGAAGCAGUUGUCGCCCAGCACCAGAGGCUGCCGGUUCGGCUCUGCGACAGCAGCGCUACGGUCCAGUCCUGCGUGUCGGCGGGCUCCAGGGCCCGCCACUGCUCCAGGCAGGCGUCCGAGGUGGAUUUGGGGCGCACACGGCGGGCGGGGGCGGGCGGUGGGGCGGCGGGGCCGGCGGAGAUCCGGUGCGCCCGUUGGCAGGGCAGCAGAUGCCGGCGCCGCGACGGCGCCUCCUCUUCCCUCCACGUGCUCCCCGACGCCUCCGAGUAGCCCGAGUCGAACUCCAGGCUGCGCUUCGCUGGCCGGGGGAGCGAGCGGCCGGGCCGCCCCUCCCUCCUCGUCGCCUCCGGGAUCCAGGCUGCAGGCCGAGUCCGCCGCCGAGGCGGGGCGCGGGGCUCGGGGGCCGGCCCCGUGGCCCUGCCGGGGUGGUGCGGCGUCUGCCGCGUGCCGUGCAUGUGCGCCCGCGGCGUCGGGCCCGCGUCCCGCCGGCACCACUGCAGGGAAAGGGAGAUCAGCACAUGGCCAGCACCGCCAUCCCCAUCCCAUCCCCAUCCCGCCCUCCUCGGCACCCCGCGCCCCCCCGCCCCGGCUGGUGGGGGCUUCGCUGGCGCAAUGGGCGUGCGGCAGGGUGCGGAGAGCGGGCCGCAGGUCCCGGCUUGCCUCCAGCCCCGGGCCCCGCUUUCCUGCGGCUCCUGCGCGGAGCCGGCCGGCGUGCAGCGGCUUGUCGGGUGAGCAAGCAGGCACCCAGCCCCGGCCGUGCCUGCGGGAAAUGACAGAGGGCCACGGCACGUAG